rnacentral:rRNA from 1 species
CGGAGGAUCCAAGCGUUAUCCGGAAUCAUUGGGUUUAAAGGGUCCGUAGGCGGUUUGGUAAGUCAGUGGUGAAAGCCCAUCGCUCAACGGUGGAACGGCCAUUGAUACUGCCAGACUUGAAUUAUUAGGAAGCAACUAGAAUAUGUAGUGUAGCGGUGAAAUGCUUAGAGAUUACAUGGAAUACCAAUUGCGAAGGCAGGUUGCUACUAAUGGAUUGACGCUGAUGGACGAAAGCGUGGGUAGCGAACAAGAUUAGAUACCCUGGUAGUCCACGCCGUAAACGAUGGAUACUAGCUGUUGGGAGCGAUCUCAGUGGCUAAGCGAAAGUGAUAAGUAUCCCACCUGGGGAGUACGUUCGCAAGAAUG